rnacentral:lncRNA from 1 species
UUUCAUUUAGGAAGUGAACUUUCAUCAGCAGCAGAAACCAAAGACAGGAUGCAGCUAAAUAUAACAAACAGAAACAACAGUGCAUUGACUGAGGGAGGCUGGAGCUGUGCUGUAUUCGUCUCAACUAUUGCAAAGCUCAGUUCACCCAUGGAGCAAAUGGAUGAUGAGUCAUUCUUUUUCAGAAUAGUGCACUGAGUGCAAUUUCAUCUUACUAUUAUUUAAUUUUCCAGCUGGCAGCAUACCA